AAAGAAGACACGUAAGCAUUCCCAGCAAGUCACGUGUCACGUGGAACAAGCAGAACCUCCUGUGGCCCCCUGCACUCAUCAACUAAGUCACAGGCCUGCUGGUACCUAGCCUGAUGCUGCCCAUUGAGUGCCCCCCCAUCAGUCCAUGCAAGCCCACCUACCCAGAUCCUUGUCUGCUGGAGGACCCGGGCUGUGGUCAGCACACUGGGAAGUCUCCCAAGCAGGUCUCGGUAGAUACCUGAGUUAGGAAAAGCAUGAGCCAGAUGGGCUGACCCUGGAUCACCAGCAUGUGGUUUCCUCCUCUCCCACUUCUCAGACAUGCGUCAGGAGAAGCCUCCAGCCUUACAUCGAACCCCUGACUCAACGUGUAUGGCCUCAGCACUUCUAUAACUGUGUGAGCCACUUUCUGGAUACAAAAUGCUUUCUAUCUCUAUCGCUGCUUUUUAUUUUAAAACCUAGAGUGACAUAUGUAAAACGUGUCAGUCCCCCAAAGCUAUAUGUCACAUGAUUCUACUCAUAUACAAUGUCCCAAAUAGGCAGAGAGAUGCGUGCGUUCCAGGUCA